GCCGCGUGAGUGAUGAAGGCCUUCGGUCCGUAAAGCUCUGUUGUUAGGGAAGAACAAGUGCCAGAGUAACUGCUCGGACCUUGACGGUACCUAAACAAAAAGCCACGGCUAACUACGUGCCAGCAGCCGCGGUAAUACGUAAGUGGCAAGCGUUGUCCGGAAUUAUUGGGCGUAAAGGGCUCGCAGGCGGUUUCUUAAGUCUGAUGUGAAAGCCCCCGGCUCAACCGGGGAAGGGCAUUGGAAACUGGGAAACUUGAAUGCCGAAGAAGAAAGUGGAAUUCCACGUGUUACGGUGAAAUGCCUAAAGAUGUGGAAGAACACCAGUGGCGAAGGGGACUC
rnacentral:rRNA from 1 species